GAUGAACGCUGGCGGCGUGCUUAACACAUGCAAGUCGAACGAUGAAGCCCAGCUUGCUGGGUGGAUUAGUGGCGAACGGGUGAGUAACACGUGAGUAACCUGCCCUUAACUCUCGGAUAAGCCUGGGAAACUGGGUCUAAUACCGGAUAGGAGCGUCCACCGCAUGGUGGGUGUUGGAAAGAUUUAUCGGUUUUGGAUGGACUCGCGGCCUAUCAGCUUGUUGGUGAGGUAAUGGCUCACCAAGGCGACGACGGGUAGCCGGCCUGAGAGGGUGACCGGCCACACUGGGACUGAGACACGGCCCAGACUCCUACGGGAGGCAGCAGUGGGGAAUAUUGCACAAUGGGCGCAAGCCUGAUGCAGCGACGCCGCGUGAGGGAUGACGGCCUUCGGGUUGUAAACCUCUUUCAGUAGGGAAGAAGCGAAAGUGACGGUACCUGCAGAAGAAGCACCGGCUAACUACGUG
rnacentral:rRNA from 1 species